UACGUAGGGUGCGAGCGUUGUCCGGAUUUAUUGGGCGUAAAGAGCUCGUAGGUGGUUUGUCGCGUCGGCCGUGAAAUCUCCACGCUUAACGUGGAGCGUGCGGUCGAUACGGGCAGACUUGAGUUCGGUAGGGGAGACUGGAAUUCCGUGGUGUAGCGGUGAAAUGCGCAGAUAAUCAGGAGGAACACCGGUGGCGAAGGCGGGUCUCUGGGCCGAUACUGACGUGAGGAGCGAAAGCGUGGGGAGCAACAGG
rnacentral:rRNA from 1 species